CCUACGGGAGGCAGCAGUAGGGAAUCUUCCGCAAUGGACGAAAGUCUGACGGAGCAACGCCGCGUGAACGAUGAAGGCCUUCGGGUCGUAAAGUUCUGUUGUUAGGGAAGAACAAGCGCUAGUUGAAUAAGCUGGCACCUUGACGGUACCUAACCAGAAAGCCACGGCUAACUACGUGCCAGCAGCCGCGGUAAUACGUAGGUGGCAAGCGUUGUCCGGAAUUAUUGGGCGUAAAGCGCGCGCAGGCGGUUUCUUAAGUCUGAUGUGAAAGCCCCCGGCUCAACCGGGGAGGGUCAUUGGAAACUGGGAAACUUGAGUGCAGAAGAGGAAAGUGGAAUUCCAAGUGUAGCGGUGAAAUGCGUAGAGAUUUGGAGGAACACCAGUGGCGAAGGCGACUUUCUGGUCUGUAACUGACGCUGAGGCGCGAAAGCGUGGGGAGCAAACAGGAUUAGAUACCCUGGUAGUCCACGCUGUAAACGAUGAGUGCUAAGUGUUAGAGGGUUUCCGCCCUUUAGUGCUGAAGUUAACGCAUUAAGCACUCCGCCUGGGGAGUACCGGUCGCAAGACUGAAACUUAAAUGAAUUGACGGCUGAGAGNGCGAGCGACGACGAGGGAGAGG
rnacentral:rRNA from 1 species